CAGAGAUCAUGCCCUCACGGGUAGACCUCCCACCCUGUGUUAUUUACUAUUGUUGCUUUGGCAGGCCGCCUUCGGGCUCCCGGCUCCGGCUGGGGUGCGCCUGCCAGAGGACCCCCAACUCUGAAUGUUAGUGUCGUCUGAGUACUAUACAAUAGUUA
rnacentral:misc_RNA from 1 species